ACAUGCAAGUCGAACGGUAACAGGAAGAAGCUUGCUUCUUUGCUGACGAGUGGCGGACGGGUGAGUAAUGUCUGGGAAACUGCCUGAUGGAGGGGGAUAACUACUGGAAACGGUAGCCAAUACCGCAUAACGUCGCAAGACCAAAGAGGGGGACCUUCGGGCCUCUUGCCAUCGGAUGUGCCCAGAUGGGAUUAGCUAGUAGGUGGGGUAACGGCUCACCUAGGCGACGAUCCCUAGCUGGUCUGAGAGGAUGACCAGCCACACUGGAACUGAGACACGGUCCAGACUCCUACGGGAGGCAGCAGUGGGGAAUAUUGCACAAUGGGCGCAAGCCUGAUGCAGCCAUGCCGCGUGUAUGAAGAAGGCCUUAGGGUUGUAAAGUACUUUCAGCGGGGAGGAAGGGAGUAAAGUUAAUACCUUUGCUCAUUGACGUUACCCGCAGAAGAAGCACCGGCUAACUCCGUGCCAGCAGCCGCGGUAAUACGGAGGGUGCAAGCGUUAAUCGGAAUUACUGGGCGUAAAGCGCACGCAGGCGGUUUGUUAAGUCAGAUGUGAAAUCCCCGGGCUCAACCUGGGAACUGCAUCUGAUACUGGCAAGCUUGAGUCUCGUAGAGGGGGGUAGAAUUCCAGGUGUAGCGGUGAAAUGCGUAGAGAUCUGGAGGAAUACCGGUGGCGAAGGCGGCCCCCUGGACGAAGACUGACGCUCAGGUGCGAAGCGUGGGGAGCAAACAG
rnacentral:rRNA from 1 species